rnacentral:rRNA from 1 species
UACGUAGGGUGCAAGCGUUGUCCGGAAUUAUUGGGCGUAAAGAGCUCGUAGGCGGUCUGUCACGUCGGCUGUGAAAUCCCGAGGCUCAACCUCGGGUCUGCAGUCGAUACGGGCAAACUAGAGUAUUGCAGGGGAGACUGGAAUUCCUGGUGUAGCGGUGAAAUGCGCAGAUAUCAGGAGGAACACCGGUGGCGAAGGCGGGUCUCUGGGCAAUAACUGACGCUGAGGGGCGAAAGCGUGGGGAGCGAACAGG